rnacentral:lncRNA from 1 species
GCCCCCUUGGACCCCCGACUCGCUGAUCGGACAGCGAGACCCCCGUACGGCUCAGCGAGGGUACUUAACUGCGGCUCAGCCCGCCGUUUGGAGCUUGAACAUUUGCAUCUUCAAUUGUAAGCAGCAUUUUAGUAGUCGUGCAAGGAUAUUCCAACUCAAUUCCUUCAAUGACCGGUUUCUCUUGGGUUUGGACGGCACGUACCAAGGCUUGAAGGGACUCCUUGAAUCUCUUAGCUCGUGCUCGUGUCACUGGGCCUUGGGGCACCUUCACAGGGUCUACUUGUAC